CCCGGGGCGGGCCGGCCGCCGCGGCCCAUAUAUAGGGGCGGCCGGGGGUGCUGCCGACACUGGCUGCCGUCUCUUCCGACGGCUGCUUUCCCUCGGUGACACCGGUGAGCCGCCGGGGCGGGCAGGGCCGGGGUGGGUUGGGGGUACCCGGGGGGUGCGGGUCGCUCUCCUCCGCCGGGCACCGCUGCUUCCCCCGGCAAAACGCCCCAUUCUCCCUCGCAGGCUCCUCCCGGAGAGAGGCGGUUUUCCCCGUCGCGCCGCUGCCAUGGCCUCCGUCCCCUCCGUCGGUUGUCUCCUGGCCAAGAACCAGUACUACCGCACAAGACAGAACUCGGAAUCCAGCGUCUCUUCCAGCUCCUCCUGCUGUCCGGAUGCUGUGAACGUUACAGACCAGGACAAAGCAUUUCAUGGUUUACCUGAGUUAAUUGAUAAAUGUUGGUGGAUAAAAAGCUUUUUCCAUAGUGAACCAUGUCCACCAACUGUUGGCAGAAAAACACUAUCAGCAAGCAGUACCAACAGUUGAAUAGGACAGCAUGCUGGCUUAACUGACUGAGAUACUACGUACAGAUUCGUUUUUCCAAGAGGCUUGGGAUCUUCCUAACGUCUGGGUUCAGCUGCAAGAAGAAAACAAAACCUUUAGGAGAACGGAAAAGUCUAUUUUCAAAAUACUUGUCAGUAGCUUAAAUGGUAUUACUUAAUGGACAUGUCCAUGGCCUAUCUUGUUCAUUACAGAGUUGCUAUAAUUUGAGAUGUCUCUCAAAUUGUCCAGAUUCAAAGUCCUGAUAACUUCGAUAGUUAGAGAAAAAUGACAGUAAAAGUAAGAUAUUGUAGGUUUAGGUGAAGCUUAUGUAUCAAAUGACUUUGCAAUAGGUGAUACUGGUAAGUUUUACCUUUAAGAUAUCAGCUCUAUAUGCAGUCACACGGAGGUAAACAAGAUUCAGAUAUAUAGUCCAGAGUAGGAAUGCUACAUGGUACAUGUUUUCUAUUAAGUAUUUGUGUACCAGUUACAGGGAGUAAGUUUACAAGAAUGCUUCUUAAUAGCUUUGCUUUUAGAAAGCCCCAGUUACACAAAGAAACAGUAAUUAGUUUGGUCUUUUUGUUCGAGCAGGGUACAUAGAUCUCAACCUCAAAUACCCAGGUACAACAUCCAUUCAUAUCUAUGCAUGUUGGUAUUUGAGGACAGAGUAGAAGGGAUAGACAAAAAAUCAGUAAUUCCAAUGGGCGCUGACAUCUUCAAAGCAGAAGAGCAACCUUAAUCAGAGCUGAUACUCUUGGCUCUGUUUUAGACUACUCUGACCUGCUUUGCUGUAGCUUAAAAUGCUGCUUGUUCUCAAGUGACUACUCCUAUCGAUACGCACUGCUGUCUGUCAGCUUAGUUAUGUGCUAGACCUGGCAAAGUGCUCAACUCAAAGUAAUCACAUCAAUGUUAUUAACCAAGUCUACCUUUGUCAGAAUUCAUGCUCUUGAAAGAUGCAGUAACAUAGCUUCAUUUGGUCUUCAGUAUAGCAAAGCAGUACAACAGAUUGUGUAUUCUGCUGGGUAUGACUGAAAUGCAUCAGAGGUCAUAGAAAAUAACAGGUGUUUGGCUGGAUGAUAUAAUUUCUGUAAACUAUCUGUGCAGCUUCUUGAUAUACGGUCGCUAAAGCUACCUGACCUUUGUCUGUCACUGGAUGAACUAACAAUAGCAAACAUGAAUGUAGCCAACAUUUUUCAUUAUAUGUUAAUGGCUGUCAUGGUUUUUCAUAACUCUAAAGAUUCCUGAACACUUGAUACACUUUGAACUGACUUGUUAUGUUUCAUUCUUCGCUGCUGUUGUGUAGUUUCAUCUUUGUCCUUUCUCUAAGUGUACAGAAUGAACAAUUCUAUUUUUUUUUAUACUAAGAUAUUUUUAUUAAUAAAGAUUUAAUCAGUACUUCUUCUGACUUAUUU
rnacentral:lncRNA from 1 species